GCCGCAAAAAGCAGCAGCAGUCGGGUGGCGAUAGUCUCUGAGAACAGUUCAAAUUGAGGUGAUCCCCGCCCCAUUCAUCAAUAUAUUUCUUCCACAUUUGAACUGAUUAAUGUCAGAAAAGAGUGAAUGAUUUGAUAAGAAUCUCUU
ensembl:ncRNA T25D3.5 ncRNA